CGCUGCAGAAAAGAAACAGAAGCACAGCUCUCUUCUACAGUCUUCAAUCUCUACCUGAAGCUAGGGUUUUAAAAUCAUUCAAAGAAGAUCAAUACUUUUUAAAAACCCUUUCUUCUGUCUUCGAACAAAGUGAGGGUUUUGAUCCAGGCCUCGAUCAUCUGACGAAGCUCAAGGCCAUCAGAAUGCAGUUCUCUGCCAUCCGUUCGAUGAAAUUCCAGGGUCUCCGGUCGUCACAUGAAGCUCUAGACUAAAUCGAUAGGGUUUUCCUGAAUCUCUAUCCUUGGAAUUGAUUUAUCGUUUUCCUGAAUCUCUAUCCUUGGAAUUGAUUUAUCGUUUUCCUGAAUCUCUAUCCUUGGAAUUGAUUUAUCGUUUUCCUGAAUUUCUAUCCUUUGAAUUGAUUUCUCCAUGAUUUGUUGAUGAUUUCGAGCUGUAGAUGGAGACAUAGCAUUUAUGGAGAUUACGAUCCUCUGAAAAUUAGAUAAUGAAGUUGAAGAUCAACAAGGCCUGCGAUCUGAGCUCCAUUUUUGUGCUUCCACCACAUUCCAGGUCCAGAUCUAUCAAGAAAACCCGAUCCAGUCACAUUUAUAUUCUUCUUUUGUGGUGAUUUUCUUACUCUGUUCGUGCAGGAGAGGAAAUGCAAUCCCACCAGGAGCAGAUACUUCUGUUUUCGGUAAAAGCCAAGGUUCUUUGCAGUUCCGCUCGCAUUCACAACAGUCAUUUACACAGGGCAUGUCAAUGUCACAGCUCUCACAGAAUUCUCAAGAGGAAAUUGUGACAAAUGAACAUAGAUUUGGUUCUCAAGACAACUCGUUGAAGAGGAUUUCUUGCUUGGCGCCUGUUACUUACACGCAAGAAGAUACUCAGAUGCCAAUGUCGAGAUCAUCCAACAAUGUUAUCCGCAGAUGGAGUUCAACUUCUGCUCCAGAUAAUAGAUGCCAUGUCAGUGAGGAACUCGAACACAGAAUCAGACUGAUGGAAACUUCAUUAAAAAGGUUGGGAAUGGUCCUAGAAUCUGUUCGGAGUGACGUCAAGCAAGUUAACAAAGCAGUUAAAGAAGUAUCACUGGAAAGUUAAGUAUCUCUAUUAUACCAGAACAGGAACUAGAAAAGUUGUUCUCAGACCAUGAGCUUCACUUCUUACUAAUCUUGUGGUUGUAAUGACUAAACUAUUUACUGUCAUUACUCAACCAGCAUGUGCCUUGUGCGACAUGGUUUGUUAAGGCCCUGUUUGGUAGACGCGUAAAAAUUAUUUCGUCUUAUUUUAGCUAACAAUAAUUAUGUAUUAAAGAUACUAGUCUUUGGAAGCGGAUUGCGUCCUACCCCUGCUCAUCCCGAGCUCAGAACGGGCAGGAGCUCCGAGGGUCCACCAUGGUGUAUGGGUUAUAUACUUUUAGAAUAUGAAAUGGAUGGAUGGGGUGCAUUUAGAAUUUGAAACUCUGUUUUCUCUGUUUCGAUUUUACAAUGUGGAACUUCUUACAAGAUCCUGGUUGUUCAUUGGGUGGGCGCCACUGUGCCUUUGCCAUGGCCCAAAAGUCAUCAGGAUGGCUAAAAAUGAAAAAAUAUCCAACAGUCCUGUUUCUACAAUCAAGUGUCCAUGAAUCAAAGGGUUGUGCUGGGAAUCCUACUCAUGCAUUCAUGGGGCUUGUCAGCAAGGGUCUUGAGCUAUGGAUAUAUUAGGCACAAAUUGAAUUGCUCUUGUUCAAUUAGUCAAGAAAACCUCAUAAGUUGAAGCUUCGCAAGGAUUUGAUUGUUCAGGUAUAUCGACAUGAUGACAAUAACAUGGAAAACAUGGGAAUUCAUGGAUUGUUGGCUCCAUUGAAGGCUUUUGGAUACAUUGUAGAAGCCCUGGAGAUGCUAUUGAUGUCCAUGGCAAAAGAUGGUACUAAGGCUCUUGGGCUCAAUGGGAAAUGAUGCUCCUUUGGCUAUGAUGUCCAACAGAGAGAAACUUACGUUUGAGUAUUUCAAGCAGAUGUUUGCUCAGGUUACAAACCCACCGAUUGAUCCAAUCUAAGAGAAAAUGGUCACAUGGAAGGGGACCUUACUGAAACAGUUCAUGUAGAAGGCUAUAUGACAGUUUGUUUGUUUUGAAAACUUUAAAUAGACCAUUAAUUGUUUUGUUGGUAAUGUGCU